GGAUCAAUGCGUCGGUCGUGCUUUUUGGUACGUACUGGCGUCAUUGGUUUCUCCUUUCUGACGAACCGUGAUGUCAUUAAUUUGGUGUUGCGGGUAGUUAGGACUGUUACUUUGAAAAAAUUAGAGUGUUUAAAGCAGGCAUUAGCUUGAAUACAUUAGCAUGGAAUAAUGAAAUAGGACGUUCGAUCCUAUUUUGUUGGUUUCUAGGAUCAACGUA
rnacentral:rRNA from 1 species